AAAGGCGGUGGCGGCUAUGGAGGAGGCAAAGGCGGUGGCAAAGGGGGCGGUGGCGGCAAAGGCGGCGGUGGCUGGGGAGGAGGAGGCGGUACCUGAUCGAAGCCAGAGUAGUAGGCUUAUGGAAAAACUAUGUACAUAAAUAACAUGUCCGAUCAUAAAGCCGAUCAUCGAUCACAAAGCAUGUUUGGCAAAAACCUAGAGAGUAAAAGAACUAUAUAUGUACGUAAAUUUAGAAAAAUACGAGUAAGCUGGCUGCCUGGCUCCAUGACAAGCAUGCAUGCAAGGGAGCACGAAGAUGAAGGGUUAAAGAUCACCUGAAAGUAUUUGACCCUUAAAACCUAGCUAGUUAGGGAACUCCAAACUACAGAGGACAGCCCUCGUUGUCCCUGAAAUAUGUAAUCUCCUUUAUGCUUGUGAAACAGAAUCCAGCUACACUCUGUAAGCAUGAUGCAUACGUACGUGCAAUGUUAAUGUUAUGAAGCAUAUAUAUCCUAUCUGGUGUUCUUCUUCUCUGAUCAACCUGGCCAUUUUGUUACAUUACGAAAAUAUUUCUUUACCAAAAUCCCUUGUUUCAAUGCGAUCGACAUAACCCCUAGUCCUAGACAUCAUGUCUUAGCUAGCUGCAUGUCAACCCUCAUCAGGAAGUGCAGUACGUAGUAGUGGCACGAAUUAAGGAGGAGGCUGAAGCCCAAAAUCCUACAAACAGAUACAUUAGAAUCAAUAUAUUUGACGACUGGACUUGUCGACUCUAACCAGAUCAAGGAGUUGCAAUCUGUACACGUUGUCAGUUCUGCAAUCCUAGUGUCUGCUUGCAACUAAUUCUAAAGACAUUUGGAUUCUGAACAACAAAAACAUAAUAUAUCGGGCUGGUAAAAGAAGAUCAUGAUCGACAUCCAAUAGGAUUUGAAAAUGAUUUAUAUAGUUUUGAUAAGUGAUUUCAAAAUGAUUUAUAUAGUUUUGAUUCUAAUUUAGUCGAUUCAACAUCCUGAUUUAUUGAAUGCUCUAGAAAAGUCCGCAAAGGUGAUCGAUGAUUGAGCUUCUGCAAAUAUAGAAAAGCUUGAAUUGGUUACCUGUCUUACACCUAUCCAAUUGGUUAAAACCUCACUUGCCGUCAUCAGGUGCGUCAUGCAAUGCUUGGAUCAUGCAUCUGUGUAUUGUAGUUUAAAAUUUCAUUUGUAGCUUCCCAAUUUUAGUUUUAGUUUGAGGAAAGCGCUGGAAUACACAGGUGUACAGUACGCUGAGGUCGGUCUCCACACGUGGCAUGGUUUUGUUCACAAAAUUCAAAUUUUAAGGACAUAAAAGUAAAUCUCUUACUUAAAUUCUGUCAAUAGUAAAUAUCAUCCGUCAUAGUUAAAAUUUAAGAUCAUUUAAGUCAAAUUCCCUGUAAUCUAACCCCAAGUGCCCUAAAAUUUUAAUCUCUUUAUGGAACUCUAGGUUCUUGUCGAAUAUGAUGGCUGAGGUGAAGCCGAUAUCGGAGGUCAGAUAGUCGAGGAAGACGACGAUCAGGCCCACAUGCGGCAGAGGAACUUGAUUGAUUUCGAUUCUGAUUAAAACCCGCCGGAAGACCCGUGUGAAAUUGGCUCUGCAAUAUAUGGGGAGGAGGAUGUGCUAUGCAAUAUCAGUUUGGAGGAGUGAUAUGAUUAUGAAAGAAAAGCUGGUGGUGCUUGGAUUGGUAGAAUCUGGGUUGAAUCAGACCCUCGAUCGGAAGAACACUGAGGUUGUGGAGCUUAUUAUGUGAAUAUGUGAUACUAUUCGUAUGGAUGAAAGUUCCUCUACUUUUCACAAAAAAAACCGAAGUCCUCUAUGUAAUGGACCCAUGUGGUAAGAGUCUGGUUAAGUGUGAAUAUCACAAUCAAAGAUGAAAGAUCAGUGUCAACUUAAACAAGGGUAAGGACCUUCAGUUCCUUGCCACCAUGAUCAUCAUCAAACCACCACUGUGAGAAUACCAUUAUAUAUUGCUUUAUCCUAUCACAGAGUAGUGAUUCUUGUUUAGUUUCCCUGUCCUUGACCUCAUCCUCAUCACCAAGUUCUAAAUCUUCCUUGCUAAUGUCCAAAAACUUCUUCUCUGUGUAGGUUUGUAGUUUCUGGAUGGCCACCAUCAAUAGGUUCAACUAAAUACAAAAUCUCAAUAUCUUUCUGAACCAACCUUUCCAAGAAUGGAGCACUUCUUGCAAUUUUCAGACUGUCUGUGGCUAAGUAAUAGAUGGUCUUCUGGGUCUCAAGCCAUGUUUUCAACAUAUUCAUCUAAACCUUCCUCACUUUUAAAAUGUAAAACCGUAACAGAGGUGUUAUGCGCUUGUGAUUUAGAUUGCUGCAUCUCUCAGUGAAAACUAAUUUUACCAGGUAUCUAUAAUUAACAUCAUUGCCCUUCCGUUACGAACUCCGUCAGUAGUACGGUACAACACACAUAUUACAGCUUUUGCCUUAGUUUGAACAUGAAAUCGAAAUUGUAGGGUUUAUCUGGAUUGGAAAAUGAUAUGCGGGCAUGUCCAAAUCAACAUGCAAGGCAAUGACGUACCGCAUUCAUCAGUACUUGCAUGCAAUGCUCACCUCAACCUAGCUAAAACACAUGUCACUGCUAGAACCAGUACAUGUGUUCCUCUUAAUAGAAGAUAGUGAUAAGAACUUAAAACCUGCAUGCAUAUCUAACUUAGUCAAAAAUAUACUACGUUCUUCUCACUACUGCCGAACUACUUCUGAUUCUUUCAAGGCUGGCUAAUAAAUUCUAAGGAUCGGUAUGUCCUUGUCUUUUCUCGAUCCCAUGCACUAUAAAUUGACAAGUCGAGGACGAACCCUAGCAUUCCAUCCUCAGAUUCUAAAGAGUAGUAUCGAAGUUUCAGAGAAACCAUGAAGAAUUUCAAGGCUUUCAAUUUUCUAGGGCUUCUGUUUGCCCUUGUUAUCAUCUCUUCCAUUGUCACAGCUGAUGAGAAGCCCAAAGAGGAGAAUAAAGGUAAUGAACGAAAUCACGACUUGAGAAAUUUACAUAUAGGUUCUCUAUGCAAGUGAGUUUAUAUAUAUAUACAUUCGUACAUACAUUUACAUAUACAUUGAUAAAUGAUCAAUGUUAUCUUACAUAUACAUGCAGCUGUAGCGGUUGAGGCAACAAAGGAGACGAAUCUGGUGCCAGGAGAUAUCGAAACAAAAGGAUAUGGCGGCGGAGGCGGAGGCGGAGGUUGCGGCUGCUGCUAUAAAUAUGGCGGCAAAUAUUGCGGUAAGCAGUGUUGCUGGCCUCAGAACGAAGAAACAGAAGCUGCAAGUGAUGAGGCCGCUGCUGAUGCCAACCCUGAUGGCUAUGGCUGGGGAGGAGGACGAGGCGGCGGCGGCUGGGGAGGAGGACGAGGCGGCGGCGGCUAUGGAGGAGGAAGAGGAGGCGGCGGCGGCUAUGGAGGAGGAAGAGGUGGCGGCGGCGGCUAUGGAGGAGGAAGAGGUGGCGGCGGCGGCUAUGGAGGAGGAAGAGGCGGCGGUGGCUGGGGAGGAGGAGGACGAGGCGGUGGUGGCUGGGGAGGAGGCGGUACCUGAUCGAAACCAGAGUAGUAAGCUAUGGAAAAACUAUGUACAUAAAUAACAUGUCCGAUCAUAAAGCCGAUCACAACGCAUAUAUAUAUGUCUGGCAAAAACCUAGAGACUAAAAGAAGAAGUAUGUACGUAAAUUUAAGAAAAAUACGAGUAAGCUCGAUCCAUGACAAGCAUGCAAAGGGAGCAUGAAGAUAGGGUUAAGUAUCACCUGAAAGUAUUUGACCUUAACCUAGCUAGCUAGGGAGCUCCAAACUACAGAGGACAGCUCUUGUUGUCCAAGAAAUAUGUAAGCUCCUUUAUGCAUGUCAAACAGAAUCUACACUACUCUGUAAGUAUGAUGAUAUUUACGUGCAAUGUUAAUGUUAUGAAGCAAGCAUAUAUAUGGUGUUCUUCUCUGAUUAAUCUGGUUCAUUUUGUUACAUUAUGAAGAUAUUUCUUGCCAAUAUAAGGCAGUCGACUAGGAAAUAAUACUAAGGGAAAAACAAACAAAACUCCCUCUGCAAUCUCUCUUCAGGAAGUGAAGUGUGCACGAAUUCUUAUCUUCUUAUUUCUCGGGUUCAAAGAAGAGGCUGAAGCCCCAAAAUAGAUACAUAGGAAUGAUAGGAUCGAUUUAUAUAUAUAUAUAUAGCCCUUCUUGGCUGCAGACGUCCGCAUCGAAGGUUUCGGUGCGGAUUUCUAUUUUUACACCUAUUUUUCGAUCGAAUUUCUUUAUCUCCACCGUUUAGUAUCUAGAUAAUAUUGUGUAGAUUAUCUCUGUAAAAUUUCAG
rnacentral:lncRNA from 1 species